UACGGAGGGUGCGAGCGUUGUCCGGAAUCACUGGGCGUAAAGGGCGCGUAGGUGGCGCGGAGAGUCAACGGUGAAAGCUCGGGGCUCAACCCCGAGUCGGCCGUCGAUACUUCCGGGCUGGAGCACUGUAGAGGCAGGUGGAGUUCCGGGUGUAGCGGUGGAAUGCGUAGAGAUCGUAAGGAAGGCCAGUGGCGAAGGCGAGUUCCUGGACAGUUACUGACGCUGAGGCACGAAGGCCAGGGGAGCAAACGGG
rnacentral:rRNA from 1 species